UAAAGGGACAGAGUAGAUUUAAAC
rnacentral:piRNA from 1 species